rnacentral:rRNA from 2 species
AAUGGCCUAACGGCUGAACCAGCAACUUGGAAGAAUGAAGGUGUAUUAAUAAAUAUUAAUGCAAUAAUGAUUAAUUCAUAUAAAAUUCUAAAUAGAUUAAUGAUAAUGACUAUUAUCUAUUUAUAAGUCUUGGCCAAAUUGCGUGCCAGCAGUCGCGGUAAUACGUAGAAGACUAGUGUUAUUCAUCUUUAUUAGGUUUAAAGGGUACCUAGACGGUAAAUUAAACCUUAACGGGUACUUUUUUACUAGAGUUUUAUAAGAGAAAGGGAGAAUCCUUGUAGUAAUGUUAUAAUAUGCAAAAAACAAGGAGACUGGUAAAGGCGAAGGCUGCUUUCUAUGUAAAAACUGACGUUGAGGGACGAAGGCUUGGUUAGCGAGAAGGAUUAGAUACCCUAGUAGUCCAAGCAGAAAAUUAUGAAUGUCAUAAGCUAGAUAAGUACUAAGAAAGGGUGCGAAUACAUCUCGACGAGUACGAUUUUUAGGUUAUAAAUGAAAGUGUAAGCAUUCCACCUCAAGAGUACAAUGGCAACAUUUAAACUGAAAUCAUUAGACCGUUUCUGAAACCAGUAGUGAAGUAUGUUAGUUAAUUCGAUAGUCCGCGAAAAACCUUACCACAAUUUGGAUAUUAUUAAAUUAAUACACGAGCUGCAUGGCUGUCUUUAGUUAAUGUCGUGAGAUCUGGUUAAGUCCUUUAAUUAACGAAAACCCUCACCUUAUUUAUUUACAUAAGGUGGUUCACCGCUAUAUUGGAUUUGAUAAGAGGGAUCAAGACAAGUCAUCAUGGCCAUAAUAUUGU